rnacentral:rRNA from 1 species
CCUACGGGCGGCUGCAGUGGGGGAUAUUGCACAAUGGGGGGAACCCUGAUGCAGCGACGCCGCGUGGGUGAAGGAGUGCUUCGGCAUGUAAAGCCCUAUCGGCAGGGAAGAAGCAAGACGGUACCUGACUAAGAAGCCCCGGCUAACUACGUGCCAGCAGCUGCGGUAAUACGUAGGGGGCGGGCGUUAUCCGGAUUCACGGGGUGUAAAGGGAGCGUAGGCGGCCAUGCAAGCCAGGGGGGAAAGCCCGGGGCCCAACCCCGGGACCGCCGUUGGAACUGUGCGGCUAGAGUGCGGGAGGGGCAGGCGGAAUGCCUGGUGUAGCGGUGAAAUGCGUAGAUAUCAGGAGGAACACCGGCGGCGAAGGCGGCCUGCUGGACCGCGACUGACGUUGAGGCACGAAAGCGUGGGGAGCGAACAGGAUUAGAUACCCCAGUAGUC